UUCCUUUCCGUUCGAGACUUCGGCUUUAGAGUAAUGGCUAGCAAAGGCAUUUUUAUAAACUACAACAAUGAACGUAAACAAAGUUACAACAGAUGGUUAGUACUAGAGAGGAUGGAGACAACUGACUGGAACCCUUAUUAAUGCUGUGGACUGCAUCUCGAACCACAAUUGUCAGGUCAACUGAUGCUCAAGUAAAAAUGGGAUAUGCACGUUCUUGAGGGCGCAUGGUGACCUUGUCCAAAUGCACUGAAGAGAACAGCUUCUAAAUUUGACUAAUGUCCCGGACAAUGGAACAUGUACACUGGAUUCCUAAUGAAUACUGGGUCCCUGCUUCUGGGUUACACCUUUUUGGUUAAUUUUAAUGCCUAAUUGUAAAACAGUUCUCAAGAGUGAAAAGAAGUCCUUGUCAAAUACAAAUUAAUGUAUAUAUGUCAAAUUAAUGUAUAUUUACUUAGUACUUUAGUUGUGGUAAAACCCAAAUGGAGCAUAUGGCUGUAAACUACUUGAAGGAGAUAUUGUUAAAUAUUGUUUGGUUUUUAAUUGUGGAAACAGUAUGGUGAGCAGUAUGAGGAGUGAAGACUAUGUUGAGCUGGUGUAACAGUGAUAAGCUGUGUUGUCAGUCUAUUCACACCAUUUCUGGCCACUGCGAUGAAGACGUGCUGAAUUCUUCGCAUCACUUUGUCGUUUCCUUAAUCUUUUUACACAAAUUAAUAAAUAUCAGAUUUAAAUAA